GUAGGUGGCAAGCGUUGUCCGGAAUUAUUGGGCGUAAAGCGCGCGCAGGUGGUUCUUUAAGUCUGAUGUGAAAGCCCCCGGGCUCAACCGGGGAGGGUCAUUGGAAACUGGGGAACUUGAGUGCAGGUGAGGAAAGUGGAAUUCCACGUGUAGCGGUGAAAUGCGUAGAUAUGUGGAGGAACACCAGUGGCGAAGGCGACUUUCUGGCCUGUAACUGACACUGAGGCGCGAAAGCGUGGGGAGCAAACAGGAUUAGAUACCCUGGUAGUCCACGCCGUAAACGAUGAGUGCUAAGUGUUGGGGGGUUUCCGCCCCUCAGUGCUGCAGCUAACGCAUUAAGCACUCCGCCUGGGGAGUACGGUCGCAAAGACUG
rnacentral:rRNA from 1 species